GCUUCUGUGGGAACAGAAAGACAGAGAACCCUUCAUCAAGUCAUCGUCUACCAAACACCCACCACUUGGAGCCUCAGAUUUCCUUCUGAGCCACUUCCCAUCUCUUUCCUUUUAACGUCUGCAUUUUUUCCUCUUUGUUGCGUUUGAAUGCAGAUGACACAGAAUGAAAUUCCUUUGGCGGCUGUGUGUGCGCGGGAGUGCGCAAAAGUAUUUAUGAAUCCUAAAUGAAGCUGGCUGCACAGCCAAGGAGCUCCAGCAGAGCGCCGGCGUGUGUGCCCGCCGGAGUCUGAUCUCUUACACGGGAAGCUGCGUUUGAUAUCUCAUUUGUUGGCUGUGUUCCUCGCAAAGCCGAGCGCUGUUUAACCCACUUUGCCGCCACAGAAGAAAACCCAGAAGAGGCUGGCUGGGCAAGGAGUCCAGGACCCCAUGCACAGGGACAGAGGAGAAGGGUUGGGGGCAUGUGGGAGGUGCUGCCACCUGCUAGUUGGCUGUGGCGCACACUGUCCCUGGAGGGGUCUUCCCUGCCUCUCAACCACCCUAGGCUUCCAGGAUCGCAGUCUUCAUUUGCUUAAAAACAGCUCCUGGUUCUUCCAUCGUGACCACAAUAGCACCAUGGUGGAAACUUAACUGCAGGCUGUCUAACAGAUGACACCAUCUUGGAAGCCGCCAUGAACUGCGGCCCCGCCAUGCCACCCUGCCUUGGAGCCAACUGAGUAUGGACUGAAACCUCCAAAAACUGUAAGAAAUAAACCUUUCCUUUCCCAA